rnacentral:lncRNA from 1 species
UCAAAUAAGCCACAAUCACAUGAAUACGGUAAAUACCGUUUAAACUAGUAGCAUAAGUAACAUGUGGAUUCGACUUACAAUAGACUUGUUAUAGUAUUAGUUGUUCAUUUAAGUGUGCUAGUUGUCACGAGCGAACUUUCAACUACGGGAUAUGACCCGUGCGGUAUCAAGGUUACUCUUAACCGAGACCAGUAUGUCGCAGUUUGUCAAGGUAUCCUUCCCGGAUAGCCUAUUUUCUUUUUCUCGUGUGUUUCCCGUGACAAUUUGACCCUUAACACUUCAUCUCCACACCUAUGGGGUUUCCCAAUGAAAGCUACUCACACAUGAGUCUCACCUCUCGUGACUAACCAAUCGCUUCCUUGUGUCAUUGUUGUCUCCCAAGACACUCGUCCAACCCAUAGGUUUCUCUGUCAUCCUGGCUUGUGUCAAUCUGUUGUUGACCAACGUGCACUUCGCACCUUGUAGCAAAGCCAAGGUGAUUAUCACACUAAGGGGGUGUAUUGUAAUUGGAUUCAUACAGACUAAUUUUAAUCAAUUGACUUUUUGAAAAGUCUAUAGACUCUUUGAAAAGUUCAAAGACUUUCACUGAUUUCUUAAAACCAUCGAUUUUUAAUCACAGACUUUAACUGAUUUCUGAAAUCUACAGAUUUCAUAUGAAUGACUUAUGUAAAUUUCUUAAUACUUACAGAGUUACAUAAAGAAAAAAAAUAAAGAUGCAAUGACAAACACAUAAUGACACCGAUUAUAAGUUUAGUACUCAUCUAUCUAAUUUCGAUGCAUACCGUUGUAAUAUUUGAUUGAAAUACAUAAACAUAAGUAACAAAAAAAACUAUAUUAACUUAACAACACGCAUACUUGUACGUUAACCAAAGACACAUAUUCUAAAGUGGGACAUUAGAUGUUCACAGUUUAAUUCAUGUACGCUAAUAUAAUAAUAUAUGAUCAUGUGGUUCUAAUAUUAAGAGUUAGUAUAUAACAUUUAGGUUAUCGAGGAUUCCAAGCAUUACAAUUGAAAUACAACAAAAUAUUAACAUUACAAAAAACAUUAGAAAAGAAUAGGUAGAAUAGAACAUUGAUAGCAACAAAAUAUUAAUAAAAAAGAAAAAAAAGAUGAUGUAUUGUAGGAUCAACCUAUUCACAUGUAAAGAGAAAGUCUACCGUAGACUUUUCCAAAUCUUUGCUCUAGUGGAUGNNNNNNNNNNNNNNNNNNNNGUAAUAUUUGAUUGAAAUACAAUAAACAAUAAGUAAACAAAAAAAAACUAUAUUAACUUAACAACACGCAUACUUGUACGUUAACCAAAGACACAUAUUCUAAAGUGGGACAUUAGAUGUUCACAGUUU